UACAGAGGGUGCAAACGUUGCUCGGAAUUACUGGGCGUAAAGCGCGUGUAGGCGGGCCGGAAAGUCGGGCGUGAAAUCCCUGGGCUCAACCCAGGAACUGCACUCGAAAUUUCCGGUCUAGAGUGGUGGAGAGGGAAGUGGAAUUCCUGGUGUAGAGGUGAAAUUCGUAGAUAUGCGGAGGAACACCGAUGGCGAAGGCAAUCCCCUGGGCCUGCACUGACGCUCAUGCACGAAAGCGUGGGGAGCAAACAGG
rnacentral:rRNA from 1 species